UACAGAGGUCUCAAGCGUUGUUCGGAUUCAUUGGGCGUAAAGGGUGCGUAGGCGGCGCGGUAAGUCGGGUGUGAAAUCUUGGAGCUUAACUCCGAAACUGCAUUCGAUACUGCCGUGCUUGAGGACUGGAGAGGAGACUGGAAUUUACGGUGUAGCGGUGAAAUGCGUAGAUAUCGUAAGGAAGACCAGUGGCGAAAGCGGCUCUCUGGGACGGUACUGACGCUGAGACGCGAAAGCGUGGGGAGCAAACAGG
rnacentral:rRNA from 1 species